rnacentral:rRNA from 1 species
AUUGAACGCUGGCGGCAGGCCUAACACAUGCAAGUCGAGCGAGCGGCGGACGGGUGAGUAAUGUCUGGGAAACUGCCUGAUGGAGGGGGAUAACUACUGGAAACGGUAGCUAAUACCGCAUACCAUCAGAUGUGCCCAGAUGGGAUUAGCUAGUAGGUGGGGUAACGGCUAACCUAGGCGACGAUCCCUAGCUUGUCUGAGAGGAUGACCAGCCACACUGGACAGUAGAAACGUUCCAGAGUCCUACGGGAGGCAGCAGGGGGGAAUAUGGAACAAGGGGCGCAAGCCUGAUGCAGCCAGGCCGCGUGUGUGAAGAAGUCUUUCGGUUUGUAAAGCACGUUCAGCGGGGAGGCGUUACCCGCAGAAGAAGCACCGGCUAACUCCGUGCCAGCCGCCGCGGUAAUUC